rnacentral:rRNA from 1 species
UGGAGGAAAGCAGGGGAUCGUAAGACCUUGCGCUUUUGGAGUGGCCGAUGCCUGAUUAGCUAGUUGGUGGGGUAAAGGCCUACCAAGGCGACAAUCAGUAGUUGGUCUGAGAGGACGACCAGCCACACUGGGACUGAGACACGGCCCAGACUCCUACGGGAGGCAGCAGUGGGGAAUUUUGGACAAUGGGCGCAAGCCUGAUCCAGCCAUGCCGCGUGAGUGAAGAAGGCCUUCGGGUUGUAAAGCUCUUUCAGCCGGGAAGAAAAGGCUGCGAUUAAUAAUCGCAGUUCAUGACGGUACCGGAAGAAGAAGCACCGGCUAACUACGUGCCAGCAGCCGCGGUAAUACGUAGGGUGCGAGCGUUAAUCGGAAUUACUGGGCGUAAAGGGUGCGCAGGCGGUUUUGUAAGUCAGAUGUGAAAUCCCCGGGCUUA